AUGACCUUGUUGGCGACGAGCGUCUUGCCGGACUCGUUGCGGAUGCGGAUGGAGAAGGGCGCCUGGAGGCGGUGGUUGGAGUCGAGGCGCCAGACGGAGCCCCACGACUCCCUCAUCCUCGUCCACUUGCCGCCGCCCGGCCCCCGCGACUCCAUGAGGUCCACCUGCACCACGUCGCCGUCGCCGUCCUCGUACUCCACCAGCACCGCGAAGUAG
rnacentral:rRNA from 1 species